GUGAAACGAAGAGCUUUUAAAGCGCGCUGAGUCUGAGAAGAACCAGAGUCGACACCGUCAGUCCGCCCACAGACUUCACUUUAAACACCGAAUACUUCAAUCACAACUCCAAGUGCACUUUCACCCCUUUAGAAAAAUGUGCUGUAAUCAUCAGGUCGGUUCGUGCGUGGCGUGGCUUUGCAGAGUUGACCACAUUCACCAGUGCAGAAAACUGUGAUUGGUGUGGAGCUGCAAUCACAGAAACAGGGAAUCAAAGGAGACCAGUUCAAGAGACCACUGGAUAAUGGGCCGUCACUGUGGUGUAGAUUUCUGUUAGUGUCAACCUGAUGCUCUUGCAGUGAUGCUGUUCCCCAGUACCGUGAAUCAACUUCUUUUUGUUGCUCCUUUUGGAUCAAACAGACAUCUGAGGUGAGCACACUUGAUCAAAAUUGAAACUCUGAUUUCCACUCAGCCUUAACAAACACUAACUCGAGUACACAUCAGUGUUAGUGCCGAGGAUACAGACUUUCAAGGCUAUUGUUUACAAGGCCACUCAAAUUAGCUUCAUAAUGACGUACACUGAUAUUACUUUAACUUUCUUUGUGCCGCCGUGUCGUCAGAGUGAAAGAAAACAGACACACACAUACACACAAAAAAAGAAAUUUGCAGCACUGACAACCAGACAGACCCAGAAGGAUCUGGACCAGACCUUCGGAUGGGGUGUUCACACCAAACUAGAGUA